CAACUCAUCUCCUCUGUCUCUCUCUCUGUGUCUCUCUCUCUCUGUGUCUCUGUUGGUGGCGCUGGGAUCCAUUGGCUCUCUGGAGGACAGGAACCGGACAGGACUCGCACCCUCAACCCACAAACACACACUGCACCAUGUCGGACUCUGAGACCGCCGCCGCCCCCGUCGAGGCCCCCGUCGAGGCCCCCGUCCCUGCUGUGUGUGCAGGCAUCAAGGCUGACCUGGACAAAUGCGUUGCAGAGAAAGGAGUGGAGGGCUGCCAGGACCUGCUGGAGGCCUUCGCUGCCUGUGUGAAGAGCGCGGCCGAGGCCUCGUCCUGAGGAGCCGCCUCACGCCUCCCAUGUCAGGAGCUCCCAUUACUUGGUCCAAUGCACUGACUCCUCCAGGUUCCCAGCAUUCCCUUCUGCACAACAGCACCGGACUGAAUGAUGACAACAACGAUGAUGAUGAUGAAGAUGAUGAUGGUUCAUGCCCUGUUGAUUCAGGCUACAUUUGGGAUCUGGCAGCAAUAACCACAGUUCCCCCCCCCCCCCCCCUGUUCUAGACUUUUCAGGUGUCCCUCAGUCUUACCCCCCUCCCCCCUCUCCCUCUUUGGCUGAUAUACAGAACAUCGACUUGUUGUCGCUUCCAGAGAGCCGAUGGGCUGUAAUGUAAUAUUGCCGACUUGAACUUAUAAAUGGAAAUAAAAGUAUGAAAUAUU